ACGAACGCUGGCGGCGCGCCUAAUACAUGCAAGUCGAGCGAGAAGACGUAGCAAUACGUUUGUAAAGCGGCGAACGGGUGAGGAAUACAUGGGUAACCUACCCUCGAGUGGGGAAUAACUAGCCGAAAGGUUAGCUAAUACCGCGUACGCUCCUUGGACUUCGGUUCAGGGAGGAAAGCGAUACCGUGGGUAUCGCGCUCUUGGAUGGGCUCAUGUCCUAUCAGCUUGUUGGUGAGGAACGGCUCACCAAGGCUUCGACGGGUAGCUGGUCUGAGAGGACGAUCAGCCACACUGGCACUGCGACACGGGCCAGACUCCUACGGGAGGCAGCAGUAAGGAAUAUUGCGCAAUGGGCGAAAGCCUGACGCAGCGACGCCGCGUGGGGGAUGAAGGUCUUCGGAUUGUAAACCCCUUU
rnacentral:rRNA from 1 species